CCGCGUGUGAAGCCGCGCCGCGCGCUUCUGCGUAGCCGAGCCGCGUCUCCCUCCUGUUGCAAGCCGAGCCGCACGCGUAAAUCCCUGUUGCAAGCCGAGCCGCACGCGUAAAUUCCUGUACCGAGCCGAGCCGCGCCUGCGCCAAGCCGAACCGGUCCCUGUCCUCUUCCAGCCGAGCCGCCAAGACUAAUUUGGCUCCAUCCACCUAAAUUUUGGGACGUCUUGGACCAAGUAAUUGCUGCAGCGCGGGAUUUCUUCAGUAGGGGCUCGAGCACUGCAACCUCUUUCUAGGUUAGGACCUCGUCGCUUGGAAAGCGUACUGCCUCGCGGUUAGGACUCGACAAGUAAAUCUCCAGGUAGAGGACGAGGCAAGGGCAAGGGCAAGCUGGCGAGCGACCCGAAGUGACCGUGGCGGGCCAUAGGGACUACUGCUUCCGCUUAUCCUUAUUUUAGACUUUCAUAGCUGAGUUUGAGUACUUUUCAUUACUUA